GAUGAAUUCUGGACGUGCUUUCACUGAUCAAUGGAGUAAGACCACAUUCUGAAAGCACACUGGAAAAGAACAGAAAUUCUUGGUUUAUAUCAGGAGUUUGGCAACCUGCAGGGACUAGAAGACUGAUACUGGCCACUAAGGAGAGACCAGCGUUUUGGAUUUCUCCAUGAUGUGACACAGGAGGUAAUCCCAGUUCCAAGGCAACAUGUAUGGCAGGCUGCCACAGAUCUUGGGAGCUCUGACACACUCUGCCUCUUCAGCAGUCCAGCAGAGUUCUAUCACACCUUUGAAAUGGAACGUUCUCCAUAAAACAUUUGCAUUUUAUUAACCAACAGAUUAAAGGAACAACUAUAAAUCAGAGGAAUUCUUCUGGCUAGCCAUCACCACAUCUCUUCCUCAUUAAAUUAGGAUUUUCUAGAUACUAACGUCUGUCAGAAUCUCACAUUUUUACAUAUUAGCAUGUUUCGCACCCUUACUAUCUUAUGAAGAAAAACCUACCAAGUUUCUAGACAAAUCUAAUUCUUUCAAUCAAACAUUUUAAAA